UCCGAAUUGGUGUAGUGGCUAACAUUUGACGCUCUCAAAUUCAUCUCUUCGAUGAACAAAAGUACCGUCAAGCCCGGGGUUCGAUUCCCCGAUUCGGAG